UUAGAGUUUGAUCCUUGCUCAGGAUGAACGCUGGCGGCGUGCUUAACACAUGCAAGUCGAACGGGGUACCCAUGACAGAGGCUUCGGCCAAUUGAUUGGAAUACCUAGUGGCGGACGGGUGAGUAACGCGUGAGCAAUCUGCCUUGGAGUGGGGAAUAACAGUUGGAAACAGCUGCUAAUACCGCAUAAUACAGUUGUGUCGCAUGGCACUGACUGUCAAAGAUUUAUCGCUCUGAGAUGAGCUCGCGUCUGAUUAGCUAGUUGGUGAGGUAACGGCUCACCAAGGCGACGAUCAGUAGCCGGACUGAGAGGUUGGCCGGCCACAUUGGGACUGAGACACGGCCCAGACUCCCACGGGAGGCAGCAGUGGGGAAUAUUGGGCAAUGGGCGCAAGCCUGACCCAGCAACGCCGCGUGAAGGAAGAAGGCUUUCGGGUUGUAAACUUCUUUUCUGAGGGACGAUAGUGACGGUACCUCAGGAAUAAGCCACGGCUAACUACGUGCCAGCAGCCGCGGUAAUACGUAGGUGGCAAGCGUUAUCCGGAUUUACUGGGUGUAAAGGGCGUGUAGGCGGGAUGGUAAGUCAGAUGUGAAAACUAUGGGCUCAACCCAUAGCCUGCAUUUGAAACUAUCGUUCUUGAGUGUUGGAGAGGCAGGCGGGAUUCCGUGUGUAGCGGUGAAAUGCGUAGAUAUACGGAGGAACACCAGUGGCGAAGGCGGCCUGCUGGACAAUAACUGACGCUGAGGCGCGAAAGCGUGGGGAGCAAACAGGAUUAGAUACCCUGGUAGUCCACGCUGUAAACGAUGGAUACUAGGUGUGGGGGGUCUGACCCCCUCCGUCGUGCAGUUAACACAAUUAGUAUCCCCACUUGGGGAAGUACGAUCGCAAAGGGUUGAAACUCAAAGGGAAUUGACGGGGGCCCGCACAAGCGGUGGAGUAUGUGGUUUAAUUCGAAGCAACGCGAAGAACCUUACCAGGGCUUGACAUGGGGAUGACCGGACUAGAGAUAGUCUUUUCCCUUCGGGGCCAUCCCACACAGGUGGUGCAUGGUUGUCGUCAGCUCGUGUCGUGAGAUGUUGGGUUAAGUCCCGCAACGAGCGCAACCCUUAUUGUUAGUUGCUACGCAAGAGCACUCUAGCGAGACUGCCGUUGACAAAACGGAGGAAGGUGGGGACGACGUCAAAUCAUCAUGCCCCUUAUGUCCAGGGCCACACACGUACUACAAUGGUGGUCAACAGAGGGAAGCAAUACCGUGAGGUGGAGCAAAUCCCUAAAAGCCAUCCCAGUUCGGAUCGCAGGCUGAAACCCGCCUGCGUGAAGUUGGAAUCGCUAGUAAUCGCGGAUCAGCAUGCCGCGGUGAAUACGUUCCCGGGCCUUGUACACACCGCCCGUCACACCAUGAGAGUCGGGAACACCCGAAGUCCGUAGUCUAACCGCAAGGGGGACGCGGCCGAAGGUGGG
rnacentral:rRNA from 1 species